GUGUCAGUGUUUACAAACAAACAUGUUUUCUUAUCUCGUGCAAUUUUUGUGCGAUCGCCACGCGGUUGGCUUGUGUACCACGUCAGUCUCAUUUUUAUCGUCAGGUGAUCUGCACGCACAGUUUCUUCAUUAUUCUCGAGUCGCUAAAUUCGAAAAGUAGUUCGUACCACGCGGAUUGUACAAUACGCAUAGUUAUUAAUCGCGUUUCUUGAGAUGUUAAUAUGAUAGUGACAUGGAUGACAAUGAAUUUCAGCCAGUGGGGCUUACAGUUAUUGAAUUGUCGCUCAUGGAAUCGGAUAUUGAGUGACUUUGCUAACAUUCGUGGCUGUCGUCGGAUACCGUCCGCUUGCUAAUAUGUCGAAUUGUGAAACCAUUUGCUGUGAAUAAAAGUGGCUAAGCCCAUAAGCCAUUUUUCGUAACUUGGUAAUGGUACCGAACUUACCCUUCUACGGUGCCCUGAAUGGGAGUCACUUCUACCGCUACCCUCGUACGGUGCCCUGAAUGGGAGUCACUUCUAACGCUACCCGCUAUAUUCGUACGAUGCGGUAACUUUUGUGAUUAUCUCACAAAUUGAUCUCCAAAAUUGCAUUUUUCUGUUCAAAUGACUAAUUUUUUAUGGUUUUAGGGAUUUUGCACCUGAGCCUGAGAAGGUAGAAGGACCAUUCUUGCAUCAGAUUGGAUUUUGCACCUGAGUCUGACAUCGUAGAAGGACCAUUCUUGCAUCAGAUUGGAUUUUGCACCUGAGCCUGAGAAGGUAGAAGGACCAUUCUUGCAUCAGAUUG